GGUAGUGUGGCCGAGCGGUCUAAGGCGCUUGGAUUAAGGCUCCAGUCUCUUAGGAGGCGUGGGUUCAAAUCCCACCACUGCCA
rnacentral:tRNA from 1 species